GAGUUUGAUCGUGGCUCAGAUUGAACGCUGGCGGCAUGCCUUACACAUGCAAGUCGAACGGCAGCACGGGAGCUUGCUCCUGGUGGCGAGUGGCGAACGGGUGAGUAAUGCAUCGGAACGUAUCCUGGAGUGGGGGAUAACGUAGCGAAAGUUACGCUAAUACCGCAUAUUCUGUGAGCAGGAAAGCGGGGGACCUUCGGGUCCUCGCGGCUCGUUGGAGCGGCCGAUGUCGGAUUAGCUAGUUGG
rnacentral:rRNA from 1 species